CACAGACAUUUAAGGAGUGUAGUGGCAAUGCUAAGUCAUGGCUUGAAGCAGUGAUGGAGCACCUGGUGGAAGGCAGGGCCAGCACAGAGGAGCUCAGGUGCAUGCAAUGUACCUGAGUGAUGGAAGGGCUGGAGCCAGGAUCCACCCCUGCCCAGACCUCAUUUAAGGGCUGGCAGUGGAUGAGAAUCUAUUUCAUCAGGAUGUCCCUGCUAACAUGAAGAUCUUGGAGGGAUUCUGAAGGGAGUCUUUAGCACUUGGAACUUGGUGCCAGCAGCAGCCAUCUGAGCAUAGGGAUGAAGAGGAGAGGAAUUCACUGGGUUGCCUUCGUGUUCACCUUCCUCACUGAAGGACAACUGAAACCAUUGUCAAUACACAGCUAAAUGAAUGCUCAAGCCCCCAGAAGACAAAAUCUGAGAAGAAAUCAGAGCUCUUUCAAGUGCUGGCAGAAAUGAAAGAUAACUCGGGUUUCAGCUGUCUGCAAGAAUCUUUGUGUUAUGAUCCAUCAAUCCCUCUACUACACCAACCAGCACCAAAACAUAUGCUUUGUUUUUCACGUCAUCCCAAUGAGAGUUCAGCAUCAGCUGCCAGCUAAAGCUCUGCAAAGGUAAUUUUGUGCAGGAUGGAAGAAAUGAGUGACAGGUUGCACGUCUGGAACCUCACUGGGUUCCAUCCCAGCUCCAUGGCUUGCAGCUCUGGUCAGCAACAGCACAUGCAAAGGACUGGGGAGCAGCAUCAGCUGAAGCUGGGUUCUGUUAUUUAUUGGAUGAACUAUUUGCUAAAGAAGGCAGAUGGGAAACUUAAAACACUUAUGAAUAUGCAUUUUGUUGGUUUUCCCAUUAUGUCAUCAUGUGACAUUAGUAAGCAGUCAUUUCUAAUUGACUUCAAAAUCCAUUGCAAAGAGGCUUUGCAAAGCACAGGGAGCAUGUCCCACUGGUACUUGUGUGGUGCCAGCCCCAUGUGGGCCAGGAAUGCUGCAAUGACUGCUAGGCAGCCAGCAAGGGGCCAUCUCAUUCUGUCUGCUGGGGGCAGGUGCUGGAGCUGGGCAGACCUCAGAGCUGCACUGGGUUCUGUGAGGCUCUGUUGAAGUUUCCAGGAAUAAUUCAAGACAGAGUUUGGACACCCUAAGCAGGGGGGCAUGCUAUAUACCUCCAUUUAUACCACAGUGUAUUCAUUUCUAAAAAGCACAGAAAUGCCCUCCAGCUUUCUGUCCUGCACAUCCAGACCCACACGGCUGUGUGCUCUGAGCUCAGGCUGCCCCAGCUCUGCUCCGUUCCCCAGCUGCCAGCAGCACAGUACUUAGCAGGAAGGUGGCUGCGCUGCCAAACUGCUUCCUACACACACACUGCUCACGUGAGUGAACUGUAUUUGCUGUGAGCAUGGAAUUAUUUUUUUACACUUGUGAAAGGAGCACAAAUAGAAGGGCCCUAUUCCAUUUUUGUGUGGCAGUUCCCAGGAUGGCACUACAAAAACUGUGGCCCUUCUUCAGGGUCCAGCCUGCUGAGAGCAAAACGGGGAGAGGGGAAGGAAAAAUCAUCUCUAACAGGAUUUUAACAAAGUUAUCAGUUUUCUGUUUAAGCCACUGAAGACAUGAUACUGACAACAGCACAAAUGAAUUAGAAGUCUGCAACAAAAAACGCUCCCAAAAAUUUUGUAUUUGCACGGCAACCAGCUUAUUAUAUUUACAUGAACAUCUGCUGCAGGUUCACAAAAACCUUUAAAACAGAUGGACAUGAAGAAAGAGCUAGUAAUUAACAAAGCUAUAUGUUGAUUAAAUCAGUGUGUGGUUAAUUUUAAUGAUUACUGAUCCUUAUAGGAGUCCAUAAGACUUCUCAAAAUUAAAGCCACUUCAACUGAUGAACUACAGCCGCAGAGCACAGUAGUGUUUGCUGUCCUCAUCCUGCUCCCAUGGAAUUAAUUGGAGCAAGUAAUUGUGGACCUGUGCCAGAAAGGGCUGUUGUGAGCAUCCGUUGUGCUUUGAACACAGAAACUUUCCAGGAUGGAUUUCUUUUGAGCUAGAGCAGCCCCUACAGAGAGCCAGUGCCCAGUGCCCAGUAAGACAUUUUGGCAAUGAGGAGUCUUUGGUAGGAUGUUCUCGUCACUGGAGUACUCCUUCUGUGCUUAAAACUCUUAUUUAUCUCACUUUCCAGCUUUGGAUCUCCUUUAUCCCUGCCUACUUUGAAAACCUCUCUGUUUCCAAAGUUCUGCUCCCUGUGUUCAUAUUGAGACUGGAGCACAUCCUACCCCUCACUGCUGAGAUUGUCUGCUUCCAGCCUUGCUGCCUGGCUGCUGGCCCUCUGUUCCCCAAGGCCUUGUGCACUCCCUUGCUCAGAGCCAAGUCCCACUGCUAUCAGUGGGUGCCUUGCAGACUGCUUUCCUCCUCUGCUGUGUUUGUCAUCUCGUUACAAAAUGUCAACGUUAUCUAGUGGUCCUAUUUUCCACACCCACAAGGUGAUUGACACUAAUUAGAAUACAUUUCCUAAUUACUCAUCAGACAAGUCUCGCAUCAGCUGUUCUGAUGUGCUAACAAGCCCUGUGGCUCAGCUCUGCUCUGCUCUCCCAGCUCUGGCUGGGCCUGCAGGACCCAUUCCAUCGCAGUGCCUGCAGGUCGCAGCCUCUCCUGCCAGCCCCACGCAUCCUGGCCCCUCACAUCUCCUGUCAGAGCUCAGCACUGCCCCUCCACUGCACUCCACACUGUGUGGAGCCAUAGGCUGUGAUGAGAUCUCCCCUCAGUCGCCUCUUCUCCCGGCUGAACAAACCAAGAGACCUCAGUUUCUCACCACAUACCUUCCUGUCCAGACCCUUCACCAUCUUCAUAGCCAUCCUUUGGGCACU